GACGAACGCUGGCGGUGUGCUUAACACAUGCAAGUCGAACGGUAAGGCCCUUUCGGGGGUACACGAGUGGCGAACGGGUGAGUAACACGUGAGUAACCUGCCCUCAUCUCUGGGAUAACAGUCGGAAACGGUUGCUAAUACUGGAUAUGAGCUUGCAAGGCAUCUUGUGGGUUGGAAAGAUUUUUUUUGGUUGGGGAUGGACUCGCGGCCUAUCAGCUUGUUGGUGAGGUAGUGGCUCACCAAGGCUUCGACGGGUAGCCGGCCUGAGAGGGCGACCGGCCACAUUGGGACUGAGAUACGGCCCAAACUCCUACGGGAGGCAGCAGUGGGGAAUAUUGCACAAUGGACGGAAGUCUGAUGCAGCAACGCCGCGUGCGGGAUGACGGCCUUUGGGUUGUAAACCGCUUUCAAUUGUGACGAAGCUUUUUUGUGACGGUAGCAGUAGAAGAAGCACCGGCUAACUACGUG
rnacentral:rRNA from 1 species